GGAUGUAUAGCGAAAGCUAGUUGUAUUGAUUUUGUCUUUAGUAAAAUGCAGCAUCGACUAUGUCGAAUAAAGUUCUAGGUAGAGUUAUGAUAAUGACAUUUUCUACCUAUGUGUCUUGACCAAAUCACGUGCCAGCAGUCGCGGAAAUACGUGGAAGACUAGUGUUAUUCAUCUUUAAUAGGUUUAAAGGGUACUUAGACGGUAAAUUAAGCCCAGAUAAAAAUAAAGGGUACUAAUUAUACUAGAGUUUCAAUGAGAGGGGGGGUGUAGUAGUGGUGUAGAGAUGAAAUUCUGUCAUACCAAUAUGACAGGCAACGGCGCAAGCAACCUUUUAUGUGUAAACUGACGUUAAAGGACGAAGGCUUUGUAUCACCAACAGGAUUAGAUACCCAAGCAGUCUUAGCAGACAAUUCUGAAUGCCAUAGAUAAGAAAAGAUUGUUUUCUCUCUAUCUCUAUUAAUAAAAAGAGAUAGAUGUUAUUUUGUCUAUAAAUGAAAGUGUAAGCAUUCCACCUCAAGAGUAAUGUGGCAACGCAGAAACUGAAAUCAUUAGACCGUUUCUGAAACCAGUAGUGAAGUAUGUUGUUUAAUUUGAUGGUCCGCACAAAACCUUACCACAAUUUGUAUAUUAUUAUCUUAAUACAGGAGUUGCACGGCUGUCUUCAGUUAAUGUCGUGAGAUUUUGGUUAGUUCCAUUAAAUUAACGUAAACCCUUACUUUAUUUAUGUUAUAAAGUAGUUCGCCGCUAUAUUGGAUAUGAUAAAAGGGACUAAGACAAGUCCUCAUGGCCUUAAUAUUGUGGG
rnacentral:rRNA from 1 species